GAAGACCCUGCAAUAUGCUCUGAGGAGAUAGAGUCACCAUUCCGAGAAACUCAUGCUGAAGUUUAAAAUGGAAAUCAAGGUUUACCAGGUAAUGAAGAACCACUGAAGAUACCAACACUGAAACAAGCUCCCUGUUUUAGAGAGAAGCACUGGAGAGAAAGCUUGACACACAAAAGCACUUUCUGCAGUAUUUUUUGAAUGCUUCCAAAAAAUUGGAAGCAUUCAAUACAUGUGGUUCACUAAAAAUCAGAAAACUUGUGCAGGCAUUUAAGUUUUAAAAAUUUUAUGCUUUUUAAUAAACAUUUUUAAGAAA